rnacentral:rRNA from 1 species
GACGAACGCUGGCGGCGUGCUUAACACAUGCAAGUCGAACGGAAAGGCCCUGCUUUUGUGGGGUGCUCGAGUGGCGAACGGGUGAGUAACACGUGAGUAACCUGCCCUUGACUUUGGGAUAACUUCAGGAAACUGGGGCUAAUACCGGAUAGGAGCUCCUGCUGCAUGGUGGGGGUUGGAAAGUUUCGGCGGUUGGGGAUGGACUCGCGGCUUAUCAGCUUGUUGGUGGGGUAGUGGCUUACCAAGGCUUUGACGGGUAGCCGGCCUGAGAGGGUGACCGGCCACAUUGGGACUGAGAUACGGCCCAGACUCCUACGGGAGGCAGCAGUGGGGAAUAUUGCACAAUGGGCGGAAGCCUGAUGCAGCAACGCCGCGUGCGGGAUGACGGCCUUCGGGUUGUAAACCGCUUUCGCCUGUGACGAAGCGUGAGUGACGGUAAUGGGUAAAGAAGCACCGGCUAACUACGUGCCAGCAGCCGCGGUGAUACGUAGGGUGCGAGCGUUGUCCGGAUUUAUUGGGCGUAAAGGGCUCGUAGGUGGUUGAUCGCGUCGGAAGUGUAAUCUUGGGGCUUAACCCUGAGCGUGCUUUCGAUACGGGUUGACUUGAGGAAGGUAGGGGAGAAUGGAAUUCCUGGUGGAGCGGUGGAAUGCGCAGAUAUCAGGAGGAACACCAGUGGCGAAGGCGGUUCUCUGGGCCUUUCCUGACGCUGAGGAGCGAAAGCGUGGGGAGCGAACAGGCUUAGAUACCCUGGUAGUCCACGCUGUAAACGGUGGG